rnacentral:misc_RNA from 1 species
UCCGGUUUGUCACCGGCAGUCUGGCGUGAGUCCCCAACUUAAUGCUGGCAACAUAGAACGAGGGUUGCGCUCGUUGCGGGACUUAACCCAACAUCUCACGACACGAGCUGACGACAACCAUGCACCACCUGUCCACCAGCCCCGAAGGGAAACCCCAUCUCUGGGGCGGUCCGGUGAAUGUCAAGCCUUGGUAAGGUUCUUCGCGUUGCAUCGAAUUAAUCCGCAUGCUCCGCCGCUUGUGCGGGCCCCCGUCGAUUCCUUUGAGCUUUAGCCUUGCGGCCGUACUCCCCAGGCGGGGCGCUUAAUGCGUUAGCUACGGCACGGAAAACAUGAAUGCUCCCCACACCUAGCGCCCAACGUUUACAGCGUGGACUAC